CAGUGUAUGGUGGGUAGUUUGACUGGGGCGGUCUCCUCCUAAAGAGUAACGGAGGAGUACGAAGGUGCGCUCAGACCGGUCGGAAAUCGGUCGUAGAGUAUAAAGGCAAAAGCGCGCUUGACUGCGAGACAGACACGUCGAGCAGGUACGAAAGUAGGUCUUAGUGAUCCGGUGGUUCUGUAUGGAAGGGCCAUCGCUCAACGGAUAAAAGGUACUCCGGGGAUAACAGGCUGAUACCGCCCAAGAGUUCAUAUCGACGGCGGUGUUUGGCACCUCGAUGUCGGCUCAUCACAUCCUGGGGCUGAAGC
rnacentral:ncRNA from 1 species